rnacentral:rRNA from 1 species
UACGUAGGUGGCAAGCGUUGUCCGGAUUUACUGGGCGUAAAGAGCGCGCAGGCGGUCGUUCAAGUCGCGUGUGAAAGCCCCCGGCUCAACUGGGGAGGGUCACGCGAUACUGAUCGACUGGAAGGCAGGAGAGGGUAGUGGAAUUCCCGGUGUAGUGGUGAAAUGCGUAGAGAUGUGGAGGAACACCAGUGGCGAAGGCGGCUUUUUGGUCUGUAACUGACGCUGAGGCGCGAAAGCGUGGGGAGCAAACAGG